AUUGAACGCUGGCGGCAGGCCUAACACAUGCAAGUCGAGCGGAUGAAGGGAGCUUGCUCCUGGAUUCAGCGGCGGACGGGUGAGUAAUGCCUAGGAAUCUGCCUGGUAGGGGGGGAUAACGUCCGGAAACGGGCGCUAAUACCGCAUACGUCCUGAGGGAGAAAGUGGGGGAUCUUCGGACCUCACGCUAUCAGAUGAGCCUAGGUCGGAUUAGCUAGUUGGUGGGGUAAAGGCCUACCAAGGCGACGAUCCGUAACUGGUCUGAGAGGAUGAUCAGUCACACUGGAACUGAGACACGGUCCAGACUCCUACGGGAGGCAGCAGUGGGGAAUAUUGGACAAUGGGCGAAAGCCUGAUCCAGCCAUGCCGCGUGUGUGAAGAAGGUCUUCGGAUUGUAAAGCACUUUCAGUUGGGAGGAAGGGCAGUAAGUUAAUACCUUGCUGUUUUGACGUUACCAACAGAAUAAGCACCGGCUAACUUCGUG
rnacentral:rRNA from 1 species